rnacentral:tRNA from 1 species
UCCGAUAUGGUCUAGUGGCUAGGAUUUGUCGCUCUCACCGACAAGGCCCGGGUUCGAUUCCCGGUGUCGGAA